rnacentral:rRNA from 1 species
UACGUAGGUGGCGAGCGUUAUCCGGAUUUAUUGGGCGUAAAGAGUGCGCAGGCGGCAUGUUAAGUAUAGAAUAAAAGCCCGAAGCUUAACUUCGGUUCGUUCUAUAAACUGGCAAGCUUGAGUGUGGUAGAGGCAAACGGAAUUUCUAGUGUAGCGGUGGAAUGCGUAGAUAUUAGAAGGAACACCAGUGGCGAAGGCGGUUUGCUGGGCCAUAACUGACGCUCAUGCACGAAAGCGUGGGGAGCAAAUA